rnacentral:rRNA from 1 species
UACGGAGGGUGCUAGCGUUGUUCGGAAUUACUGGGCGUAAAGCGCGCGUAGGCGGCUUUGUAAGUUAGAGGUGAAAGCCCGGAGCUCAACUCCGGAACUGCCUUUAAAACUGCAUCGCUUGAAUCCAGGAGAGGUGAGUGGAAUUCCGAGUGUAGAGGUGAAAUUCGUAGAUAUUCGGAAGAACACCAGUGGCGAAGGCGGCUCACUGGACCGGUAUUGACGCUGAGGUGCGAAAGCGUGGGGAGCAAACAGG